UGCAAGGGAGAGGUUCCUCUU
rnacentral:misc_RNA from 1 species